GAGGGUAACAGAGAGUGCUUGCACUCUGCUGACGACCGGCGCACGGGUGAAGUAACGCGUAUGCAACCUACCUUUUACAGAGGGAUACCCAAGAGAAAUUUUGAAUAAUACCUCAUAAGCUCUAUUUAUAGCAUUUUAAAUAGAGGAAAACUCCGGUGGUAAAAGAUGGGCAUGCGUCCUAUUAGUUUGUUGGUAAGGUAACGGCUUACCAAGACUACGAUAGGUAGGGGUCCUGAGAGGGAGACCCCCCACACUGGUACUGAGACACGGACCAGACUCCUACGGGAGGCAGCAGUAAGGAAUAUUGGACAAUGGAGGAAACUCUGAUCCAGCCAUGCAGCGUGCAGGAAGACGGCCCUAUGGGUUGUAAACUGCUUUUAUACAGGAAGAAAUCUAUCCACGUGUGGGUAGUUGACGGUACUGUACGAAUAAGGAUCGGCUAACUCCGUGCCAGCAGCCGCGGUAAUACGGAGGAUCCAAGCGUUAUCCGGAAUCAUUGGGUUUAAAGGGUCCGUAGGCGGUCUAUUAAGUCAGAGGUGAAAUCCUGCCGCUCAACGGUAGAAUGGCCUUUGAUACUGAUAGACUUGAGUUAUUGUGAAGUAGUUAGAAUGUGUAGUGUAGCGGUGAAAUGCAUAGAUAUUACACAGAAUACCAAUUGCGAAGGCAGAUUACUAACAAUACACUGACGCUGAGGGACGAAAGCGUGGGUAGCGAACAGGAUUAGAUACCCUGGUAGUCCACGCCGUAAACGAUGGUCACUAGCUGUUUGACUAACAUUGGUUAGUUGAGUGGCUAAGCGAAAGUGAU
rnacentral:rRNA from 1 species